GAGGGUAUAGCUCAGUGGUAGAGUGUGUGUUUAGCAUGCAUGAGGUCCUGCGUUCAAUCCCCAGUACCUCCA
rnacentral:tRNA from 1 species